ensembl:lncRNA
GUGAACUGAAUUUCAGGUAAGAAGUUAUGACCUGCACUCUAUUUGGGUCAGAUAUAAACCGAGUUUAGGUGUAGUUUAUUUAGCAACAGUUCUCUUACGUGUUGCUGAUAGCCGGCUGGCUAGCUAGCUAGCGCCGCUAGCUUAGCUAGCUAGCGCGGCUAGCGACCCUUCGUGAAAAACCACCCAGGCUUGGCUGAUAGUGAGGUGGCUAAAAUUUGUUUAAUCGCCCGAUCGCUCGGCAAGGGUCUGUGUCUUAGGUGGACUUAUUUUUCGUUUAUAUGGGCCGAUGAUGCUGGUCGAUGUGGAAAAAAUAACUGAGUUGUUUGGUGGUGGAGCUACAACAGAGGGCAGCUAUCCACCGGUGUGUGACAGAAAGGACAUGCCGCGAACGAGACAUACAAGGCGGUGAGGCUACCGCGGAUCGACCGCUGUUUGCUAACGCGGAGGUCAAUCGUGGAUGAGGAAAAGCGAAGGCAGGAGCGUGAGGUGAACUGAAUUUCAGGUAAGAAGUUAUGACCUGCACUCUAUUUGGGUCAGAUAUAAACCGAGUUUAGGUGUAGUUUAUUUAGCAACAGUUCUCUUACGUGUUGCUGAUAGCCGGCUGGCUAGCUAGCUAGCGCCGCUAGCUUAGCUAGCUAGCGCGGCUAGCGACCCUUCGUGAAAAACCACCCAGGCUUGGCUGAUAGUGAGGUGGCUAAAAUUUGUUUAAUCGCCCGAUCGC